rnacentral:rRNA from 1 species
CCUACGGGUGGCAGCAGUGAGGAAUAUUGGUCAAUGGACGAGAGCCUGAACCAGCCAAGUAGCGUGAAGGAUGACUGCCCUAUGGUUUGUAAACUUCUUUUAUAAAGGAAUAAAACGAGGCACGCGUCCCUUUUUGCAUGUACUUUGUGAAUAAGGAUCGGCUAACUCCGUGCCAGCAGCCGCGGUAAUACGGAGGAUCCGAGCGUUAUCCGGAUUUAUUGGGUUUAAAGGGAGCGUAGGUGGUUGUUUAAGUCAGUUGUGAAAGUUUGCGGCUCAACCGUAAAAUUGCAAUUGAUACUGGCAGUCUUGAGUACAGUUGAGGCAGGCGGAAUUCGUGGUGUAGCGGUGAAAUGCUUAGAUAUCACGAAGAACCCCGAUUGCGAAGGCAGCUUACUAAGCUGUGACUGACAUUGAUGCUCGAAAGUGUGGGUAUCAAACAGGAUUAGAUACCCGAGUAGUC